UUACCUUGCAAGUCGAACGAUGAAGCCCUUCGGGGUGGAUUAGUGGCGAACGGGUGAGUAACACGUGGGCAAUCUGCCCUGCACUCUGGGACAAGCCCUGGAAACGGGGUCUAAUACCGGAUAUGACUGUCCACCGCAUGGGGGAUGGGGUAAAGCUCCGGCGGUGCAGGAUGAGCCCGCGGCCUAUCAGCUAGUUGGUGAGGUAGUGGCUCACCAAGGCGACGACGGGUAGCCGGCCUGAGAGGGCGACCGGCCACACUGGGACUGAGACACGGCCCAGACUCCUACGGGAGGCAGCAGUGGGGAAUAUUGCACAAUGGGCGAAAGCCUGAUGCAGCGACGCCGCGUGAGGGAUGACGGCCUUCGGGUUGUAAACCUCUUUCAGCAGGGAAGAAGCGAAAGUGACGGUACCUGCAGAAGAAGCGCCGGCUAACUACGUGCCAGCAGCCGCGGUAAUACGUAGGGCGCAAGCGUUGUCCGGAAUUAUUGGGCGUAAAGAGCUCGUAGGCGGCUUGUCACGUCGGUUGUGAAAGCCCGGGGCUUAACCCCGGGUCUGCAGUCGAUACGGGCAGGCUAUAGUUCGGUAGGGGAGAUCGGAAUUCUUGGUGUAGCGGUGAAAUGCGCAGAUAUCAGGAGGAACACCGGUGGCGAAGGCGGAUCUCUGGGCCGAUACUGACGCUGAGGAGCGAAAGCGUGGGGAGCGAACAGGAUUAGAUACCCUGGGUAGUCCACGCCGUAAACGGUGGGCACUAGGUGUGGGGCACAUUCCACGUUGUUCGUGCCCGCAGCCUAACGCAUUAAGUGUCCUCGCCUGGGGGAGUACGGCCG
rnacentral:rRNA from 1 species